UACCAAAACUUAGAAUGGGGUUGUUCUUUCUGUAAAUGCAAGUGUGCCAUGCUCUCUGUUAUCUCUGAAAUCUCUUCAGUGUGGAAGAGAUUUUGGGGUUUUCUUUUCAUGUAUUUUGAUGUUGUCUGAGGCAGGCUGUGGAGAUGCAGGGUGGAAAUGCUUGCCAAGUUGAUGUUUGGGCUGACUAACAGCAUUAGAGUAGAGCAGCUCUGCUGGUGAUAGCCCAUGUAUCUCCCUUAGGCACAGGAUAAAGCCAAAGGCCAUUUUCUAGCUGUCUCCCCCCUUUUUUCCUGUUGUCCUAUCCUUUGUGGCAGCAGGACUGUCAGUCAGAGCUUCUGCACACCCUGCCCCAGGUACUGUAGGUCUCGGAGCCGCCUGCCCAGCUCAGAAGUACCAAACUCUCGCCGAGACCUCUCCCCUCUGGCCUAGUGAUGGGCUGCAAGAACUGUGCAAACUGAUUUGAGAAUAAAGAGAGAGGACUACAAAAUAAAACUAAAACCAGUUCAGACAA